rnacentral:rRNA from 1 species
CCUACGGGAGACAGCAGUGGGGAAUAUUGCACAAUGGGGGAAACCCUGAUGCAGCGACGCCGCGUGAGUGAAGAAGUAAUUCGUUAUGUAAAGCCCUAUCAGCAGGGAAGAAAAUGACGGUACCUGCGUAAGAAGCACCGGCUCACUACGUGCCAGCAGCCGCGGUAAUAAGUAGGGGGCAAGCGUUAUGCGGAUUUACGGGGUGUAAAGGGAACGUAGACGGCAGUGCAAGUCUGGAGUGAAAGGCGGGGGCUCAACCCCCGGACGGCUCUGGAAACUGUACGGCUUGAGGGCAGGAGAGGUAAGGGGAAUGCCGAGUGUAGCGGUGAAAUGCGUAGAUAUUAGGAGGAACACCAGUGGCGAAGGCGGCUUACUGGACUGUAACUGACGUUGAGGCUCGAAAGCGUGGGGAGCAAACAGGAUUAGAUACCCCGGUAGUC